rfam:Schistosoma margrebowiei strain Zambia genome assembly, scaffold: SMRZ_contig0002893
AUCUAGCUGACGACCCCCAAAUAGGACGAAACACGCGUCCUGGAU